rnacentral:pre_miRNA from 1 species
GCUUGAUGAUGCUGCUGAUGGUGGUGGUGGUGGUGGGGAUGGUGAUGAUGAUGCUGAUGAUGAUUUUCUCCCAUCUCACUUCCAGCACCACCACCACCACCACCACCAGCC